rnacentral:rRNA from 1 species
CAGGCCUAACACAUGCAAGUCGAACGUGAAGCCCCCUUCGGGGGGUGGAAAGUGGCGCACGGGUGAGUAACGCGUAGGCAAUCUACCCUUAGCUGGGGGAUAACCCCGCGAAAGCGGGCUAAUACCGCAUGACGUCCCACCAUCGCAUGAUGGCGGGAUCAAAGCUCAGGCGGCUAGGGAUGAGCCUGCGUUGAAUUAGCUAGUUGGUGGGGUAACGGCCCACCAAGGCAACGAUCCAUAGCGGGUCUGAGAGGAUGACCCGCCACACUGGCACUGAGACACGGGCCAGACUCCUAGGGGAGGCAGCAGUGAGGAAUAUUGCGCAAUGGAGGCAACUCUGACGCAGCCACGCGGCGUGCAGGAAGACACCCCUCAGGGGGGUAAACUGCUUUUGUACGAGAAAAACACCCGGCUGGGCGGGCUGGACGGUUUGGUACGAUUAAGGACCGGCUAACUCGGUGCCCCGGGGGGGUAAUAGGGA